UAUGUCUAUACAUGUGUCACAUACUACAGUUAUAUAUUUCAAAAGAUAAUGUGAAGUAUCACAUGGAUGCAGGCACCAACGUCUAUCUACCAAUUCCCUCUACAGGAAAUAUUAAUGACAAUUGGAAUUUAGGGAAUUAUGCGUAGUAUUUAAGAAAAUGAUGGCUUUACUGAAACACCAAAGAAAACUAUGUCACUGAAAAGGGCAAAAAAUAAAACCUUCACAGUAUUGUGAAAUUAGGGAAAGAAGAUGCUUGGUUGUAGACUACAAACCAACACAUAGAACCCUAAAUCUGAUCAGGAGCUGUUUCCUUUGAGUUUACUUUGUUUGAGCACUAAGAUAUGGUCUAAUCACCGAACUUCUUUUGCUUCUUUGGGUAUAUUUAUCUCAUCACGGGUCGUCUCCACAAAAGAAAAAGGUAAAAUUAAAAACUUAGGGUUUCUUUAUUUUCUGAGAUCAAGAAACUUCCCCUAUGUAUCUUCACCAAUAAUCAGAGGAAUAAGGUUGAUUCAUGUCCAGAUGCAAAAUUCUUCAUAAAAUAUUUAUCAAGUUUGAUAGAAAAUAGUAUUCUUUUUUUUUUAAGAAAAAGAAAAAUAAUAUUCUUACUGUUUGAUUUUUGUUAGAAAAAUGAGAUCUAUCUCUGAGCUAAGACCGAUCGAACACUCUUAAUGAGAUCUAUCUCUGAGCUAAUUAAGACCGAUCGAACACUCUUUCUUUCUAGAAAGAUUUUCAUUUUUUUGGAGAACUGGCUUGAAGAUUUUCAUUUUUGAUAUAAGGAAAUAGGAGAGAGAGAGAGAGAGAUUACCGCUAAAGUUGUCGUGCAGAAGUUGCAGAGGACAUAGCAAACACGAUCAGAUGAUAAAUCUAUAGACAUUUUUGAACUUGUGGUUUCUCUUCAAUAAUAUCUUCUUGUUUGGGUUAUAUAAAAUUUUUAGGUAUGCGAAUGAAAUCAAAGAAGGAACUAUUUGAUCUUGGAAGAAUAAAUUAAAGAAAAAGCAAGCAAAUAAGAGAGCAGAAGGAUAUAGAGAGAUGGGUGGAGGAAGCGUACAAAAAAUCUGAAAAGAUUAAUGGGGUUUGUUUUGAGGGAAAGGGAGACCAGUGGGGACUAUAUUACAAUGUUCUUUUUACAUAUAGUUUCUAUUAUUUUUUCAGAGUUGAAUACUCAAGAAUAAAAUGAAUGUUCUCUCGUGUAAUUUUUCUGCUUAGGGUAAAUUGUAUAUGUAUAUAUAACUUAAAAGAAUACUAAUUAAUAAAACUCUC
rnacentral:lncRNA from 1 species